rnacentral:lncRNA from 1 species
CUUAAAACCUUAAACAAAAUUAAAAUGGAAUGAGAUAAACUCUAUAUUCUUCAAUAGUUCCGUGGUCGAAGCAUUAUCUUGAAGAUUAAUUGUGUGUGCAAUGACUAUUCUGAAGAUUAAUUGACUUGGAUCAGAAUUCUCUAAGAAAAAUGACUAUUCUGAAUACAAUGAUCGACGAAAAUACAAUCAGUCAGAUCGACGAAGAUACAAUCAGUCAUUACUGAUGGGCUAAAAUUUGAAGAUGUUUGAUGAUACAUUUUAUAGUACCAAUGAGAAAUCGAGAAAAUUGAAAAUUGAAGGAUCAACACAGAGUUAAAGGCAAACUAAUAGAAUUAAGUUAUAAUGCAUUAAUUUUUAAGCCUUUUGAUUUAGGGCUUUCAAUGACCAUGGUCAAGUCAAAGCAUUAAAUUUGCUUUUAAAAUUUAUAAAUUUAGUAUGGGAGUCAUUUUGUGAGAAAAUUUUAGAAUAUAGGCCAAGUAAUGACACUUAAGGAGAAAAAAAGAGGCUAUAAAAACAAGUUGAAGACUACCGAAAAAAAGGUGGAUAAUCUUUCUACAUUGUUCAUCAUAAUUUCCGACAAAUGACAUAAAUACUCUCUCUUUUUUUGUAAUCGAACUACGUUUUGGCUUGAUCCCGCUUUGGAUAUGUAAAUAAUAAUGAGCCUCCUAAGUCUAGCUAUUAAUAAUAAUUAUAUGGGUGAUUUACCAUAUAAGUAACUUUUAAGUUGAGAUAUACAGACAAGGUAAGUAUAUCAGCUUCUCAACAUCUAACAACUGUUUCCUCCAAAAAGACAAAAGUAGCCCUGCAAACAAGAAAGAAAUAAUUAACUUUUGAUUGAUCACACUUACAAUCAAAGUUUUGCCUUCCAUCUUUCGAUUGAUCAGUUGUUUGAUGGCAAAUAUAUAUAUGUGGCGAGUUAUAAGCUUGAAUUGAUGAAUUGGUGAUGAAACAAGGCUCCCUUAAAUACUAGUUGGGCUACGAUUGGUAACCACACAAAAUUGGUUUGAUAUGUUUAUCACAUGCAUGCUCUAUAGACUGUCUGUACACGCUGCAUGGACCAACCUUAUAUUAUCUUAAUGACAAUAUUAUUCAGACAGACUAAGGAUAAUUUUAAUCAUCUUGUUCUUGCUAACCGUGUAAUUAUUAUGUACGCUCUCUUCUUAUAAUUUGGUUUAUAACUAUAUUAUGUCUAUAAAGUUAGUAUAUAACUUCUCGGGGUAAAAUUUUUGAACAAAGGAUUAAGAAGAUUAGUAUGAGUAGUGUGAAGAAGCAACGAAAAGAAACGUAGUUUGUUAGAACGUGUUUUGUGUUACGUAAUUAAUUUUUUUUUACCAAUUCUCUUGUGGUUUUAGCUAAGAGCUCCUGAAAUUGGUUUGAGUAAAAAAGAUCAAGACACAAUUACCAUUUAUUUAAAGUAUACGAUAUAAAAGGCAG